rnacentral:rRNA from 1 species
GUGGGUAGUUUGACUGGGGCGGUCUCCUCCUAAAGAGUAACGGAGGAGCACGAAGGUUGGCUAAUCCUGGUCGGACAUCAGGAGGUUAGUGCAAUGGCAUAAGCCAGCUUGACUGCGAGCGUGACGGCGCGAGCAGGUGCGAAAGCAGGUCAUAGUGAUCCGGUGGUUCUGAAUGGAAGGGCCAUCGCUCAACGGAUAAAAGGUACUCCGGGGAUAACAGGCUGAUACCGCCCAAGAGUUCAUAUCGACGGCGGUGUUUGGCACCUCGAUGUCGGCUCAUCACAUCCUGGGGCUGAAGUAGGUCCCAAGGGUAUGGCUGUUCGCCAUUUAAAGUGGUACGCGAGCUGGGUUUAGAACGUCGUGAGACAGUUCGGUCCCUAUCUGCCGUGGGCGCUGGAGAACUGAGGGGGGCUGCUCCUAGUACGAGAGGACCGGAGUGGACGCAUCACUGGUGUUCGGGUUGUCAUGCCAAUGGCACUGCCCGGUAGCUAAAUGCGGAAGAGAUAAGUGCUGAAAGCAUCUAAGCACGAAACUUGCCCCGAGAUGAGUUCUCCCUGAGACUUUAAGUCUCCUGAAGGAACGUUGAAGACGACGACGUUGAUAGGCCGGGUGUGUAAGCGCAGCGAUGCGUUGAGCUAACCGGUACUAAUGAACCGUGAGG